UGGGGAAUAUUGCACAAUGGGGGAAACCCUGAUGCAGCAACGCCGCGUGAAGGAAGACGGUUUUCGGAUUGUAAACUUCUAUCAAUAGGGACGAAGGAAAUGACGGUACCUAAAUAAGAAGCCCCGGCUAACUACGUGCC
rnacentral:rRNA from 1 species